UACGUAGGGUGCAAGCGUUGUCCGGAAUUAUUGGGCGUAAAGAGCGUGUAGGCGGCCAAGUAGGUCCGUUGUGAAAACUGGAGGCUUAACCUCCAGCUGUCGAUGGAAACCAUUUGGCUAGAGUCCGGAAGAGGAGAGUGGAAUUCCUGGUGUAGCGGUGAAAUGCGCAGAUAUCAGGAAGAACACCCGUGGCGAAGGCGGCUCUCUGGGACGGUACUGACGCUGAGACGCGAAAGCGUGGGGAGCGAACAGG
rnacentral:rRNA from 1 species